AAACAAAAUGGGCUUACAACCCUGGAUAUUAAUGAGGCUUUUACUUUAAACGGGAGCACCCAGGGAGCAAGAGAAGCCCUGCGACAGCAGCAAGGGACACUGUGGGGCUGCAGGAGAAGGUGGCAGCUCAGCCCUCACUGUGUCCUGGCCCAUGACCCCCUAAUUCACCAAAGGGGCUUGCAGUGGUUUAUUAAAAUGGCUGCAUGUCCUCUGGCACUCUCUUCAUGGAGAAGCGGGGUCUAUGUGCCUUCUCUUGGAGUUGGAUGGGCCUGUGCUGGUUUUCAUCCAUGGUCAGAACAUGCUGUGGAAGCCCAGGCUCCCCAGGAAGUCCCUGUCUUGGUGGCCCUGUCAACAGCCUCCACUGAGCUGAGCUUUUCAGUCUACCCAGCCUGGGUGCCAGAUGUGGGGAAGUUUCCAGCAGGGAAGCCUUCAGCCCCAGCCAAUGAAUUCUUCCCAGCUGAGGCCCAGACAUCGGGGAGCAGAGACAAGCCAUCCUCAUGCCCUGUGUCAACCUGAAAUAAGUGAAAGGAUUGGAAUCAGCUUUAAAGAGUUUAUUCAAGUAAAAAGCUGGGAAUGACCAUUCAGAAAACAAGGAUUCCACAGAAAUGGAGUUAGUGCUCUGAAGUGAAAAGUUAAGGUCUGGCUUAUAUAGGAGGAAAAUAAAGAAAUUUAACAGGAUUAAAACAUUUUCUAUACAAGCCUGGUUUAUGGGUUCUAACAAUUUGAUAGUUUGUUUUCUUUUCUGUAUGGCUUGCUUUCAUUUGCUUUCCAAUUUAAAAGAGUAUAUUUAACAUAGUCACAAAGUCUUCGUGUGGAAAAUGUAAGAGGGAUGUUAAUCUAUAAUAAAGACCAACACUAAGAGGGAAGGAGUCUUCCCUGGCACCCUUUAAUCAUUUGCAACAUUUCACAAAACAGUGUAGGUAAGGAA
rnacentral:lncRNA from 1 species